rnacentral:rRNA from 1 species
UAGCUUGACGGUACCCGACGAGGAAGCCCCGGCUAACUACGUGCCAGCAGCCGCGGUAAUACGUAAGGGGCGAGCGUUGUCCGGAAUCAUUGGGCGUAAAGAGCGUGUAGGCGGCUCGUUAAGUCCGCUGUGAAAACCCGGGACUCAACCCCGGGCGUGCACUGGAUACUGCCGGGCUAGAGGACGGCAAAAGCGAGUGGAAUUCCCGGUGUAACGGUGAAAUGCGCAAAUAUCGGGAGGAACCCCCGUAGCGAAGGCGGCUCGCUGGGCCGUUCCUGACGC